CAGAAUUUGACUUUGGAACCAAGGGGCUGUUCUGCUUGCUGGAUUGGAAAUGAUUUUAGCCCCUCAUGCCAGGAAGAAAACAUAGGCAGAUUUCUCACCAGCUAAAAAGGAAGGAAAAAUUGUGAAGUGAAAUUUUCUACUGGCUGUGGUUUAUCCAUGUUAAAUUGUAAAGCAUAUAACACAGAUGGAAUCCGGCACAUGCAAAACACUCACAAAACCUAGUUACUACUACUGCUGGCGCUGCGGCUACACGACUACAACUACUACUACAGCCACUACUCUCCUCCUACUGCUACUGCUGCUGCUGCUAGUGUUUCGUAAAGUGGAGCUACAGAAAUCAACAUUUUUUUUCUUAGCUGCACAGUGAAUUCGUUUUUUGGACUCCAGUAUUCUUCCUGAAGGUCUGUUUCAUCCUAGUAUGACUCUCACUUUUUUUUCAAAAUUUUAUUUUAUUUUAUUUUUGAAAUGGAGCCUCACUCUGUUGCCCAGGCUGGAGUGCAGUGGCGUGAUCUCGGCUCACUACAACCUCCGCCUCUGGGUUCAAGAGAUUCUCCUGCCUCGGCCUACUGAGUAGCUGGGAUUACAGGCACGCGCCACCACGCCCAGCUAAUUUUUGUAUUUUCAGAAGAGAUGGGGUUUCACCAUGUUGGCCAGGAGGGUCUCAAUCUCCUGACCUCAUGAUCCGCCUGCCUCGGCUUCCCAAAGUGCUGGGAUUGCAGGCGUGAGCCACCAUGCCUCUACAUUUUAAUUUUUUAAAACUUACCAUCUUUAUCAUUUUUAAGUGUACAGUUAAGUGGUAAUAAAUACAUAUGUAUCUCCUAUCUCAUUUCCUUAUUUUCAUCCCCCAUCCCAUUUCUGGACUCUGGCUAAUAGCAGUCUACUCGGUAUCAUCACGAGAUCCACGUUUUUAGUUUCCACAUAUGAAUGAGAACAUGCGAUAUUUGUCUUUCUGUGCUUGGCUUAUUUCACUUAACAUAAUGGCCUCUGGUUCCAUCCAUGCUGCUGCAAGUGACAGGAUUUCACUCUUUUUAUAGCUGAAUAAUAUUCCAUUGUGUAAAUAUAACACAUUUCCUUUAUUCAUCUGUUGAUGGGUACUUACGUUGAUUCUAUAUUUUGAAUAGUGCUGCAGUAAACAUGGGAGGGAGAUAUCUCUUUAAUAUACUGAUUUCCUUUCUUUUGAGUAUAUACCCAGCAGUGAAAUUGCUAGACCAAAUGGUAGUUCUAUUUUUAGUUUUUUUGCAGAACCUCCAUACUGUUCUAAUUUACAUUCCCACCAACAGCGUAUGAGGAUUCCCCUUUCUCCACAUCUUCGCCAGAUCUGUUAUCGCCUGCCUUUAUUUACUUAUUUUUAUUUUUAAUUCUUGUGGGUACGUAGUAGGUAUAUAUGGGAUACAUUAGCUGUUUUGAUAUAGACAUGCAAUCUGUAAUAAUCAUAUCAUGGAAAAUGGGGUAUCCGUCCCCUCAAGCAUUUAUUCUUUGUGUUACCAACAAUUCAAUUAUACUCUUUCAGUUAUUUUGAAAUGUAUAAUUAAAUUAUUAUUGAUGUAGUCUCCCUGUUGUGCCGUCAUUAAUUCUAAGACUUAUUCAUUAAUUCUAUUUUUUGUACCCAUUGCCUGCCUUUUUGAUACAAGCCAUUUUAACUGGGGUGCAAUGAUAUCUCAUUGUGGUUUUGAUUUGCACUUCUCUGAUGAUUAGUGAUAUUGAGCAUUUUUUCUUAUACCUGUUAGCCAUGUGUAUGUCUGUUUUUGAGAAAUGUCUGUUCAAAUCUUUUGCC
rnacentral:lncRNA from 10 species